GUGGGGAAUAUUGCGCAAUGGGCGAAAGCCUGACGCAGCGACGCCGCGUGGGUGAUGAAGGUCUUCGGAUCGUAAAGCCCUGUCGGAGAGGGAAGAAAAACCCGUGGGAAUAAUACCUCACGAGUCUGACGGUACCUCUCCAGAAAGCACCGGCUAACUCCGUGCCAGCAGCCGCGGUAAUACGGAGGGUGCUAACGUUGUUCGGAAUUACUGGGCGUAAAGCGCGUGUAGGCGGCUUUGCAAGUCAGAUGUGAAAUCCCUCGGCUCAACCGAGGAAGUGCAUUUGAAACUGCUAGGCUAGAGUACGGGAGAGGGUUGUAGAAUUCCCGGUGUAGAGGUGAAAUUCGUAGAUAUCGGGAGGAAUACCGGUGGCGAAGGCGGCAACCUGGACCGAUACUGACGCUGAGACGCGAAAGCGUGGGUAGCAAACAGGAUUAGAUACCCGAGUAGUCC
rnacentral:rRNA from 1 species